UAAAAGAAACACAAUAUCAAAAAGCAAUACAAAUGAAUCAUAAAUAAGCUGAUACUACACUUCAAACUACUGCUUUUCAUUUCAUUCUUCUACUCCAACUUUACAAACAAUAGAGCUUAAAUGUGCGCCUGCAAAUUGAAAUAGAACCAGAAAAAGUGAGGGUCAGCAAAGUUAGCAGCAGAAAUUAGCCCAGAUUCAGCAAUCAACAGUGAAAAUCCACUCAAUGAAUAGAACAGUAGACCAAUCAGCAAAACCUAAACAGGCUCAGUUCAAUAGCCAAUUUAGUCCAUUUUUACCCCAGAUGUCAAAAAUUGUUCUAGAAAUUGACAACUUCAAGAAUCACAAAGGAAAACUGAAUGAAACAAUGAUUUUUUAAUGAAAUUUUAGCCUAUUUUUUAUUUUUGCAGAAUUUUCUCUUCCAAAGUCUGCCUUGGAUGCCAAGCUAGCAUACCUUUAUAGGCAAAGUUUAGGGCAGCGG
rnacentral:lncRNA from 1 species